ensembl:snoRNA SNORD115 Small nucleolar RNA SNORD115
GGGUCGAUAAUGAGAACUCAUACUGUAUCAAAAAGAGAUGAUGACUUAAUCAUAUUUAAUAGAAUUAUACUGACGCCC